rnacentral:rRNA from 1 species
UGAGGAAUAUUGGUCAAUGGGCGAGAGCCUGAACCAGCCAAGUAGCGUGCAGGAUGACGGCCCUAUGGGUUGUAAACUGCUUUUAUAUGGGAAUAAAGUGAGGGACGUGUCCCUUAUUGCAUGUACCAUAUGAAUAAGGACCGGCUAAUUCCGUGCCAGCAGCCGCGGUAAUACGGAAGGUCCAGGCGUUAUCCGGAUUUAUUGGGUUUAAAGGGAGCGUAGGCUGUUUGUUAAGCGUGUUGUGAAAUGUAAGUGCUCAACUUUUAGAUUGCAGCGCGAACUGGCAGACUUGAGUGCGCACAACGUAGGCGGAAUUCAUGGUGUAGCGAUGAAAUGCUUAGAUAUCAUGACGAACUCCGAUUGCGAAGACAGCUUACGGGAGCGCAACUGACACUACAGCUCGAAGGUGCGGGUAUCGAACAGG